AUUUUAUCCUGAGGAUGAUCUGUCCCGGUAAUUUUUUUCCAGGCAUGGUAUUUCACAGGUUGAUUUUUUCCAGAGGAGUGAAAAUCUAUCUGUGUUAUGCGGAUAGUAUGUACCAGUAUAUAUUUGCCGUACUAUAUUUCACAGAACCGUGUGAAAUAGAGUCCCAUUAACUACUAUGUAAGUUACUCACAAUCAAUAUAUACCUGACUAUAAUUAUAAAAUGUUUCACAAAGGUAGACCAAAUUUGCAUAAUUUAUCAAAGGGAGGUAAUUAUGAGC
rnacentral:lncRNA from 1 species